CCUACGGGUGGCAGCAGUGGGGAAUAUUGGGCAAUGGGCGCAAGCCUGACCCAGCAACGCCGCGUGAAGGAAGAAGGCUUUCGGGUUGUAAACUUCUUUUCUCAGGGACGAAGCAAGUGACGGUACCUGAGGAAUAAGCCACGGCUAACUACGCGCCAGCAGCCGCGGUAAUACGUAGGUGGCAAGCGUUAUCCGGAUUUACUGGGUGUAAAGGGCGUGUAGGCGGGACUGCAAGUCAGAUGUGAAAACCACGGGCUCAACCUUUGGCCUGCAUUUGAAACUGUAGUUCUUGAGUACUGGAGAGGCAGGCGGGAUUCCUAGGGGAGCGGGGAAAUGCGUAGAUAUUAAGAGGAACCCCAGUGGCGAAGGCGGUCUGCUGGACAGCAACUGACGCUGAGGCGCGAAAGCGUGGGGAGCAAACAGGAUUAGAUACCCGGGGAGUC
rnacentral:rRNA from 1 species